rnacentral:rRNA from 1 species
CAGUAGCCGCGGGAAUACGAAGGGGGCUAGCGUUGUUCGGAUUUACUGGGCGUAAAGCGCACGUAGGCGGAUCGAUCAGUCGGGGGUGAAAUCCUGGAGUUCAACUCCAGAACUGCCUUUGAUACUGUCGAUCUCGAGUCCGGAAGAGGUGAGUGGAGCUCCUAGUGUAGAGGUGGAAUUCGUAGAUAUUAGGAAGAACACCAGUGGCGAAGGCGGCCCACUGGUCCGGUACUGACGCUGAGGUGCGAAAGCGUGGGGAGCAAACAGGAUUAGAGACCCCGGUAGUCCCUGUCUCUUAUAC